rnacentral:lncRNA from 1 species
AAGCAGACAAGAUGUAGGCAGGGGACUGAUAGUUCUGGUGGCGGAAUCCACCACUGGAAGAUUUCGAACAUAGAAUAGUUGAUGAAUUUAGGAUGAUAGAGUCCGUGCCCAGCGAUUGUGUGAUCUGUUGAUUCUAAACUAAGAUUGUCGGGUGUAUUCCAUUCUGCAACGAUUCAACUGAGCGCCAGUGAAAGGAUUUUCAUGACUUUUCCCAGUUAUUUUCGUUAUACUUAAUUCCUCAGUAUUAACCACUCUCUGGGACUUCGGAGGAGCCAUCUUCUGCCUGAUUGUGACACCUGCCCCGUGAUUCCUCCUUCUGUCCAUUCCAACCCAGCAGGUCCAGAGUUUUCACAGACAUAUACUUGCUAGACAUCAUUAAUGCAAGCAGCUCACCAUGCUCUGACCACUCAGUAUGAGGAGUAUAAAGUCCUUUCAUAUCUGCUAUCACCCAGAAAGACUGCAGUUAUUUCCCGUUAAUCUCUAUCAAGAGCAAACCUGUUUCCGAAGCACAUUCUCAACCUGGCUCCUUGCUCCUCAGGGUUAUUCUCUCGUUCUGGCUGAAAUGUCAUUGUCUUGCGGGUAGUCUUGAUGUCUUUUUGCACAAAUGUGAAUUUUCCCUUCCUGAGUAUCACGUAAUUUUGAUUGUAUUUCACCAGGUAUGUAUUUUACUUCAAAAUGAUCCAAACUUAUAUUUUAACCAAACACGGGGGAAUUUCAUUGCUGCCACAUCUAGCAGACGGCACAAAAUAGCACCUGGUUGGAGGAACUAAUUAGGGAUGUUUCUGCACAACGAAUCAGAAGAAUGAAAAGACGUGGAAACCUCUCCUGUCUGAAAUUCAAGCUCACACUCCUGUCCUCUGUUCCUUUCCUUAAAGCUCCACUGGAUGCGGGACUAUUUUUCAAAAUUAAAGUGACCAACACUGGAGAUAAAGUAGUUGGGAUUAAACCUGAAGGCUUAUUUCACCACACUAAAGGAAAGAAAGACCACUGUAUUGUGUCUUACGAAGGCCAUGGUAGGAGGAUGGAGUGUCUGCUGAUCUAUAUGAACAAGGAGCGGCUGGAAAACCAGAAACGUAACUUCUGGAAGUUGGAGCUAUCCAUCUGGCUUACUUACUGAGAACUGUAGGCACCCGCACUGCAAGCAUUAUUUAUAUACUAAGUAAUGCAUUUAAGAUUUAUGAGGAAUGAGAAGUCACACCACACCUAGAAGGGUGUGAACACGGAAUGCCUGCACUCAGGGAGAGAUCUGCGUCAGCUGUAUUUUUGAUCAAAAGUUGUUCCCAUAGUGACAACACUCUCCCCCUUAUCAGUAUUUCUUCUUGUUACUUGGUUACCAAAAUAUGAAAUGAAUACUGAAUGCAGGUCAUGAGCAUGAGAGCGAAUAUAAAGCUAACUAGUUAUCUAGGUCUAACUCUGUCAUGAUUUUUCUUUAUAUUUUUGGUGGUGGUUAAAUACAUAAAUAUAUUCAGUGGUCUAAGUAUAGAACCCAAUAUGAAGCCCACAGCCUCCAAAUGCCUAUUGUAA